ensembl:lncRNA
AAACAGGCGGGCUCGGGAAAUUUCUGAGGUCGGUAACAAUUACCGUCGCGAAGGGCAAACCAGGAGGGCGUGCCGAUCCCACAUGACACCUCCCUCACCUCCCCGCCCCCCGCCCCGCCGGAACGUUUUUGUCCCGGAACCUUAGCUCGCGGGACCCGGCGCGAGGGCACUUCCGGUGCCCCUCCUCUCUCGCCAGCGAAGAGAACUGCCAAGUCAGUUCCGGCAGAGAGCGCGGUGAGAAGCGGACCACGGCCUUGUCUCCCGGGGCCCUCCAGGCCCUCCGGCCUCGGGCCGGGGGGUGGGCUGGGGGGCCCGGGGCCAGACCGUAGCGGGCUCUGUCCUGCAGAGACUCAGAGCCUUCGCCGCGGCUGCCCGCGGGCCGGGCCCGACCUUGAAGCAGGAGCGACCCUCUCGCCCCACCCCCACCUCCGCGUCGUAAUGGCGGCGGCCUCUCGGGGGCUGGACUCUGCCGACCCCUGUCUCCCUGCGCAGCCUUGCUGGGCCGCGGCGAAGCCGCCGCCGAGGACGCGGCGCCGUUGGGCUUCGGGCGUGGCGGGGCGGAAGAAUGGCGGCCGCUCGAACGCAGAGGAGGGCCGUUAGGUGGCUCUGCUGGACGCGGGCUGGGCCACCCGUAGGCCUUGGAGCCGCGCGGAUCCGGGACAUGGCGGUGACCGCUCUGUCCCAGUGGGACGAGAUCUCCCCUCGUCCGGACGACGCCGGACAAAGGCCUUAGGGGCCCUGAAGAAAUGUCUUCUGGAAAUGACUUUGAAAUGGAAUUGUUAGACCACCGCUGGAAGCGACAGCAGGAGCGACGCGCGUCCACGGUUGUGCAGUGGAUUAGAGGACGUGGCGUGGAAGACCUUGAGGAACAAGAAACGAAGGCUCGGUGCCAGAGUGGUCAUAUUUGGAACACAUUUUCAUUUUAUAACCAUUGUUUUGUGUGUGCAUUUUAUUCCUCGCUACUGUGUAUGUAGUUGACAGUGCUAAGUACUUUUUUGCAAUAUCUAGUCUUUCUACAUGUUCUGAAGUGCCUGAUAUAUGUUAAAAGUAGAGGUAGUAAAAAGACAUUUUUGUAAAUAUCUUUUUAAGAUUCUUAUGAAAUACUGUUUCUCUGGGGGGAAUGGCCAGACCACCCCUUUGAACAGUGCACGUUGUGUUUGUGCGCUGGUUCUGGGGGAGAGGGAAGUACAAAGAGCUCUAUGCCAGUGUGUUAGUGAGGCAGAAUUAACCAUUGUCCCUGAUGUUCCUGCAUUUUGUUUUACUUUGCUGUGUAUAUAAUGUAUAUAACGGACCAAUGAGUCCUAAUUUACAACAUCUAGUCUUUCUAGAUGUUAAAGAGGUUGCCAGUGUAUGACAAAAAUAGAGUUAGUAAACUAAUACAUUUUAUACAUUUUGUGUUAAAAUUCCUAGGAAAGAUUGUCUCCUGAAAAUCUGAGCAUUCUAGCCCACUGGGUUGGUGGAGGAGGGAGAGAAGGGAAAGGUUGGUCUUAGGCUAGAAUGUUCACAUUCCAAAGACUUUCAGAUUCUGUUCCAUGUGUGCAGUUUACUCAAGACUGCUGUGUAUAUAGUGGACAAAUUCAGUCCUUAUUUGAAACAUCUAGUCCAUCUAGAUGUUUAGAAGUGCCCGACGUAUGUUAAAUGUAGAGGUAGUAAAAUAUCACUUUGUAAAUAUUUUUUUGCUAAAAUUCAUUGGAAAUGUUGCUUUUUGGAAAUGGAAUUGUUAAACCCUCUCUGUGAACAGUAUAUUAUUGCUUAUACUUGCUCAGUGGUUUGCAGGAGGUGGGAGGGAAAGAAUUGCAAUUGGUAAUAUGCUAGUGUGUGCAUACUUGGACAUUUUCAGACAAAACCAUUUUUUGUAUGUUAUGUGCAUUUUGUUUUGCUGUGUAUAUAAUGUAUAUAAUGGACAAAUGAGUCCUAAUUUUACAGCAUCUAGUCUCUAGAUGUUAAAAGAGGUUGCCAGUGUAUGACGAAGUAGUUAGUAAAACUAGCACAUUUUGUACACUUUGUGUUGAAAUUCACUUUGUGUUGCCUUCUGUAAAUGACUUUCAGAUAGGAAUUUGUGCAACCACCUCAAAGCAUUACUCAUACCUGUACUUGUCCACUGGAUUGGUUGUGGAGAGGAGGAGGUGAGGGAGGGAAUGGUUCAGGCCAAAAUGGCCACAUUUAGAAGAUACCUCAGAUUAUAACCAUUGUUACAUGUGUGCAAUUUUAUUUAAUAGUGCUGUGUACAUAGUGGACGAGUAAAUUCUUAUAUAAAGUAUCUAGUCUUUCUAGAUAUUUAGAAGUGCUUGAUUUUUUUAAAAGUAGAAGUAAGUAAAAUAACACUUAUUGUAAAUAGCUUUUCAGAACUGAUGGGAAAUGUUGUCUUUGGAAAUGGAAUUGUUAAAGCACCUCUCUGAACAGUAUACCCUGUACUUGUUCAUUGGGUUGAGGGAGGUGGGAGGGAAUAAAUUCCAAAAGAUGUUUUGCUAGUGUGUACUAGAAAAUGUCCACUUAUCCAUUGCCCUAUAUGUUAUGUGCAUUUCAUUUAACUUUUCUGUAUAUAUUGUGUAUAUACUGGACAAAUGGGUCCUAAUUUUAUAAUAUCUAGUCUCUAGAUAUUAAAGAGGUUGCCAAUGUAUGACAAAAGUAGAGUUAGUAAACUAACACAUUUUGUACACUUUGUGUUAAAUUCAUCAAAAGGCUGUCUUCUGGAAAGGACUUUUGGAAAUGAAAUUGUAAAAUGACAUCCAAGUGACACAUGUGCCUGUACUCACCCACUGAGUUGGUGGUAGAGAGCAGGAGUUGGGAGAAAUGAAGGAUUCUAGAUUAGAAUGUCCGAAGUAGAAGACACUUUCAGAAAUAAUUGUUGCUACAUGUGUGUAGUUUAUUCAACACUACUGUGUAUAUAGUGGACAAAUAUAAGUCCUUAUUUGAAACAUCUAGUCUUUCUAGAUGUUCAGAAGUGCACAAAGUAUGUUAAAAGUAGAGGUAGUAAAAUAACACAUUUUGUAGAUACCCUUUUGUUAAAUUCAUAUGAAAUACUGUCUUUUAGAAAUGGAAUGAUCAAAAUGAUCAAACCACCUCUCUGAGCAGUAACUGUUACAUUUGUGCUGGUUUGGGGAGGAAGGAGAAGAGAGUACAAAGGGCUUUAUACCAGUAUGUUUGUAGUUAGACAAGAUUAACCAUUGUCCCAUAUGUCUGUGCGUUUUGUUUUACUUAGCUGUGUAUAUAGUGUAUAUAAAGGACAAGCGUCCUAAUUUACAACAUCUAGUCUUUCUAGAUGUUAAAGAGGUUGCCAGUGUAUGACAAACGUAGAGUUAGAAAACAAACAUUGUGUACACUUUGUGUUAAAAUCAAUAGGAAAGACUGUUCUGAAAACGACUUGAGGGAAGUGAAAUAGUUAAAAUCCCCUCGAAGCAUUAUAAAUGCUUGUCCACUGGGUUGAUAGAGGGGGAAGGAUUCUAGGCUAGAAUGAUGCUGUUGGGAAGACACUUGCAGAUUAUAGCCUUUAUGUGCAGUUUAUGCAGUGCUACUGUGUGUGUGGUGGACAAACUUAAAUCCUUAUUUGAAACAUCUAGUCUUUCUAGAUGUUUAAAAGCGUACAACAUAUGUUAGAAGUAGAGUGUUAAAGUAAUACCCUUUAAGUAUUUUUUCAGUUAAUUCAUAGGAAUGGUUGCGUUUUUGGAAUGGGAUUGUUAACCUUGAUAGAGAGUAUGCCGACUGUUCACUGGGUGUGGGGGAGAGGGGCAGGGAAGGAAGUGCCAAGAGGAUUCUGUGCCCAUGAGUCUAGAUAAGUUUAGACUGUCUAACCAUUGUUCUGUAUGUGCAUUUUAGUUAAUAUUGCCGUGUAUUAAAAGAUAAACAAGUCCUAAUGCCCAAAGUGUAGGAAAAGUAGAGGUAGUAACACUUUUUAAAAUGCCCUUUUGUUAGUUUUUAGGAAGGACUGUCUUCUGGAGUGUCUUUAUUAAUCCGCCUCUUGGAGCUGGAUGCAGUCCUACACUUAGUCGUUGAAAUGGUGGAGGAGGGAGAAGCGGAAGGGUGAAGGGAAGGGCUCUUUGCUGGUAUCUCCAUAUCUAGAAGACAGUGUUAGGUAAUAACAUAGGUCUGUAAGUGCAUUUUUGUAAAGUACCUGUGUUUAUUGUAGACAGGGUUUGUUCUUUAUUUUGCAGCAUCUAAGCUUUUUAGAUGUCCUGAGGUGACAAUGUAUGAUAAAAAGUAGAGCUAGUGAAUUAACCAAUUUGUAAAUAUCUUUUUGUUCUAAUUGAUAGAAAAGAACCAUCUUGGACAUGGAAUUGUUAAACCAGCUCUGAGAAAUGUACUUGAGGACUUGUUAGGUUGGCAGCAGAGGAGCGAAAGGAAAUAUAGGGGGAGGGAUGUAUGAAGAUGUGUUCAUACUUACAUUUUGAUGAUAACCAUUGAUCUCUGUGCACCUCUUGGCUGUCCUAUAGGAAUUCAUUGUUAAGUAAUUCAGUGGGAACAUACCCCCUUGCUAAUAUUUUAAUAGUAUAGAUCGGAUAUCGAGUUCUCUUAGAAGUAUUAUAUUUUGUGUACUCUUGCUUUAUGUCUCAUUUUUAAUUGAACAUUAAGGGAAUGCAGUAUUUUAAUCAUAACGCCGCCAGUAUCUUUAUCUAGAGGCUUCUUGCCACUUUUGUCGCCAAGAAAGGCACGAUUACAUUUUUUUUCUUCCAGAUUGAGUUGGUGUAGUGUAUUCUUGGUUAUCAAAAUACUUAUAUAGCUUUGGGACUUUGAAAUGAUAAAUAUUCAUUAUGUGUGAAAAAGCAUGAUACAUAACUGUAUGAUCUUAAUUACAUAAAAAUGGAUGCUUAGUUGUGUAGGUGAACACACAGGACCUAGAAGGACAUGUCAAACUUAAACUGCUUGUGACUAUGGAUGACUUUGUUCUUUGCUUCUCGUGUUUUUCAGUUUCCUAUUAUGCACAUGUUAACUUUUAAAAAAUAAAUGUCAUUUAAAAAACCUUCCUAAA